CGAACGCUGGCGGCAUGCCUAACACAUGCAAGUCGAACGAUGCUUUCGGGCAUAGUGGCGCACGGGUGCGUAACGCGUGGGAAUCUGCCCUUUGGUCUGGGAUAACUGUUGGAAACGACAGCUAAUACCGGAUGAUGACGUAAGUCCAAAGAUUUAUCGCCAGAGGAUGAGCCCGCGUCGGAUUAGCUAGUUGGUGGGGUAAAGGCCUACCAAGGCGACGAUCCGUAGCUGGUCUGAGAGGAUGAUCAGCCACACUGGGACUGAGACACGGCCCCA
rnacentral:rRNA from 1 species